rnacentral:misc_RNA from 1 species
GAAAUGCGAUAAGUAAUGUGAAUUGCAGAAUUCAGUGAAUCAUCGAAUCUUUGAACGCACAUUGCGCCCGCCAGUAUUCUGGCGGGCAUGCCUGUCCGAGCGUCAUUUCAACCAUCAAGCCCCCGGGCUUGUGUUGGGGUCCUGCGGCUGCCCGCAGGCCCUGAAAACCAGUGGCGGGCUCGCUGUCACACCGAGCGUAGUAGCAAUCACCUCGCUCAGGGCGUGCUGCGGGUUCCGGCCGUUAAACAGCCUUACAAAACCCAAGGUUGACCUCGGAUCAGGUAGGAAGACCCGCUGAACUUAAGC